UUUCGGGGCGGGGUGAAAAUCCCCACCGGCGGUGAAAGCCCGCGAGCGGGAACGGAGGAGGCGAGAGCGCUUUCGACGGUUCCGGCAGACCCGGUGAGAUUCCGGGGCCGACGGUACAGUCCGGAGGAGAGAAA
rnacentral:ncRNA from 1 species